rnacentral:rRNA from 1 species
UACGUAGGGCGCAAGCGUUAUCCGGAAUUAUUGGGCGUAAAGAGCUCGUAGGCGGUUUGUCGCGUCUGCCGUGAAAGUCCGGGGCUCAACUCCGGAUCUGCGGUGGGUACGGGGCAGACUAGAGUGAUGUAGGGGAGACUGGAAUUCCUGGUGUAGCGGUGAAAUGCGCAGAUAUCAGGAGGAACACCGAUGGCGAAGGCAGGUCUCUGGGCAUUAACUGACGCUGAGGAGCGAAAGCAUGGGGGAGCGAACAGG